rnacentral:rRNA from 1 species
CCUACGGGAGGCAGCAGUAAGGAAUAUUGGUCAAUGGACGCAAGUCUGAACCAGCCAUGCCGCGUGAAGGAUUAAGGCCCUCUGGGUUGUAAACUUCUUUUAUAGGGGACGAAAAAAGGGCAUUCUUGCUCACUUGACGGUACCCUAGGAAUAAGCACCGGCUAACUCCGUGCCAGCAGCCGCGGUAAUACGGAGGGUGCAAGCGUUAUCCGGAUUUACUGGGUUUAAAGGGUGCGUAGGUGGGUUGGUAAGUCAGUGGUGAAAUCUUCGAGCUUAACUCGGAAACUGCCAUUGAUACUAUCAAUCUUGAAUCAUCUAGAGGUAAGCGGAAUAUGUCAUGUAGCGGUGAAAUGCUUAGAUAUGACAUAGAACACCAAUUGCGAAGGCAGCUUACUAUGGAUGUAUUGACACUGAGGCACGAAAGCGUGGGGAUCAAACAGGAUUAGAUACCCUGGUAGUCCACGCCCUAAACGAUGGAUACUCGACAUUUGUGAUAUACUAUAAGUGUCUGAGCGAAAGCAUUAAGUAUCCCACCUGGAAGUACGACCGCAAGGUUGAAACUCAAAGGAAUUGACGGCUGAGAGAGCGAGACGACGACGAGGGAGGAGG